rnacentral:tRNA from 2 species
GCCGCGGUGCUGGAAUUGGCAGACAGGCUAGGUUGAGGGCCUAGUGUCCGUUUAGGACGUGCGAGUUCAAGUCUCGCCCGCGGCACCA